rnacentral:rRNA from 1 species
UACGAGAGGCCCAAACGUUAUUCGGAAUUACUGGGCUUAAAGAGUUCGUAGGCGGCAUGAAAAGUAGGGUGUGAAAGCCCUCGGCUUAACCGAGGAAUUGCGCUCUAAACUGUCGUGCUAGAGGAACCUAGAGGUGAGCAGAACAGAUGGUGGAGCGGUGAAAUGCGUUGAUAUCAUCUGGAAUACCGGAGGCGAAGGCGGCUCACUGGGGGUUUUCUGACGCUGAGGAACGGAAAGCCAGGGUAGCGGAAACGGG